rnacentral:rRNA from 1 species
CGGACGGGUGAGUAACGCGUGGGGAACCUGCCUUGCACCGGGGGAUAACACUUAGAAAUAGGUGCUAAUACCGCAUAAGCGCACAGAGCCGCAUGGCUCAGUGUGAAAAACUCCGGUGGUGCAAGAUGGACCCGCGUCUGAUUAGCUGGUUGGCGGGGUAACGGCCCACCAAGGCGACGAUCAGUAGCCGGCCUGAGAGGGUGAACGGCCACAUUGGGACUGAGACACGGCCCAAACUUCUACGGAAGGCAGCAG